rnacentral:rRNA from 1 species
AGAAGGGAGUAACGCGUAAAGAAGUUGCCUGGCGGGUGGGGAGAAAAAAAUAGAAGUGAAUGCUAAUACCUGAUAUUAGGGUUAUAGGGUAUCAUAAAAUUAUGAAAGCUAUAUGCUCUGUGACAGAGCUUUGCGUCCCAUUUUCUAUUUGGAGAGGUAACAGCUCACCUGGCGAUGAUGGGUAGCCGGUCUGACAGGUUGAACGGCCACUAGGGGACUGAGACACGGCCCUUACUCCUACCGCACGCAGCAGUGGGGAAUAUUGGACUAUGCACCGAGAGUCUGAUCCACCCUUCUGUGUGCACCAUGAAGUUUUUCUGAUCGUAAAGUGCUUUCCUUGGGAAGAAAAUAAUGACUGUCCUACAGAGAAUGUGACGGGUCAAUACCUGCCAACAACGGCGGGAAUACCUCUGUCCCGAGCGUUAUCCGGAUUUAUGGGGCGUCACAGCGUCUAAGUGGUUAUGUAAGUCUGAUGUGACAGUGCAGGGCUCAACCUGUAUUGCGAGGGAUCCUGUCUAACCUAGUGUACUGGAGAGGUACUUGGUACUUCAAGUGGAAGAGGUAAAAUUCGUAUAUCUUUGUAUGACUGCCAAUUGUAAAACCUAGUUUAGUGGGACGAUGCUGACGCUGAUUCGCCGAAGGUGUGGCGUAGACACAGGGAUUUAGAUACCGU